ACGCUCGACACCUACGGGAGGUAGCAGUGGGGAAUAUUGCACAAUGGGGGAAACCCUGAUGCAGCGACGCCGCGUGAGCGAAGAAGUAUUUCGGUAUGUAAAGCUCUAUCAGCAGGGAAGAAACUGACGGUACCUGACUAAGAAGCACCGGCUAAAUACGUGCCUAGCAGCCGACGGUAAUCUGAGGCGGCUGGCAAGGC
rnacentral:rRNA from 1 species